rnacentral:rRNA from 1 species
UUGGAGGGCAAGUCUGGUGCCAGCAGCCGCGGUAAUUCCAGCUCCAAUAGCGUAUAUUAAAGUUGUUGCAGUUAAAAAGCUCGUAGUUGAAUUUCGGGAUUGGCGUGUCGGUCGUGCCUUACGGGGUAUGAACUGGCGUCGUCGAUUUCUCACCUUCUGGAGAAUCACGAUGCCCUUAAUUGGGUGUCGUGUGGAACCGGGACCUUUACCUUGAAAAAAUUAGAGUGUUUAAAGCAGGCAUUUUUGCUCGAAUACAUUAGCAUGGAAUAAUAAAAUAGGACAGUUUGGUUCUAUUUUGUUGGUUUCUAGGAUCACCGUAAUGAUUAAUAGGGAUAGUUGGGGGCAUUAGUAUUCAAUUGUCAGAGGUGAAAUUCUUGGAUUUAUUGAAGACUAACUACUGCGAAAGCAUUUGCCAAGGAUGUUUUCAUUAAUCAAGAACGAAAGUUAGGGGAUCGAAGACGAUCAGAUACCGUCGUAGUCUUAACCAUAAACUAUGCCGACUAGGAAUCAGACGAUGUUAAUUUUUUAAUGACUCGUUUGGCACCUUACGGGAAAC